GGGCUCAUCGCUCAAUGGAAGAGCACCCGUCAGAAGGCGGGGAUAAGGGUUCGAAUCCUUUUGGGUCUU
rnacentral:tRNA from 1 species